UUGAACGCUGGCGGCAUGCCUUACACAUGCAAAGUCGAACGGCAGCACGGGAGCAAUCCUGGUGGCGAGUGGCGAACGGGUGAGUAAUAUAUCGGAACGUGCCCGGUCGUGGGGGAUAACGUAGCGAAAGCUACGCUAAUACCGCAUACGAUCUACGGAUGAAAGCGGGGGAUCGCAAGACCUCGCGCGAUUGGAGCGGCCGAUAUCAGAUUAGGUAGUUGGUGAGGUAAAGGCUCACCAAGCCGACGAUCUGUAGCUGGUCUGAGAGGACGACCAGCCACACUGGGACUGAGACACGGCCCAGACUCCUACGGGAGGCAGCAGUGGGGAAUUUUGGACAAUGGGCGCAAGCCUGAUCCAGCAAUGCCGCGUGCAGGAUGAAGGCCUUCGGGUUGUAAACUGCUUUGUACGGAACGAAACGGUGAGCUCUAAUACAGUUUGCUAAUGACGGUACCGUAAGAAUAAGCACCGGCUAACUACGUG
rnacentral:rRNA from 1 species